CACGCUGUAAACGAUGAUUACUGGUUGUUAGCGAUAUAUAGCUAGUGACUGAGCGAAAGCAUUAAGUAAUCCACCUGGGGAGUACGUCGGCAACGAUGAAACUCAAAGGAAUUGACGGGG
rnacentral:rRNA from 1 species